CAGAAAGGUGCUGUUAACGUUACGCAGGGGGAACCCUCGCCUGCUGGUCCCUCCCCCUGCUCAGAGCCUAGUAAGGAGACGGAGGCAGAGAAUUAGACACAAGACGGGAUUGAACGUGAUUAGGGUCCACUGCUUCUUUAUGGGGCCGUCACAUUAUUAUAAGGAGAACCCAGGAAACUGAAGAUUUUUCUUACUGCCCAUUAAAGGGAAAUUCCAGCCUAAAUAAAUGUGAUCAACCAUUACAUGGAAACUAAGGCGAGACGUUCCGUCCCGCUAUGUGAAAUAGAAUGACAUCCCAUCCAGAUAGGUGAUGUGUACCGCCAACAUCUCCUCCACAAAAUGAGCUGCACGUACAGGGGGCAGAUCUGCACGGGGCUGCUCGCUGAAGAGUUUCACCACUUUCAUGGAGUAAUCAUUCGUCGGCCUUACCACCUCCCCGAAGAUUCUAGCGCUCAGGCGGGACAUGCGGAUGGCGUAACUCGACAGGGAAGACAUGGCGAGGCGGCUGCG